UCUCUCGUGGCUCAAUUUGGUAGAGCGUCGGAGUCCGGAUCCGAAGGUUGCACGUUCGAGUCGUGCCGGGAGAG